ACGGCGAGUGAAGCGGCAACAGCUCAAAUUUGAAAUCUGGCCUCGGCCCGAGUUGUAAUUUGCAGAGGAUGCUUUUGGUGCGGUGCCUUCCGAGUUCCCUGGAACGGGACGCCACAGAGGGUGAGAGCCCCGUAUGGUCGGACACCAAUCCUGUGUAAAGCUCCUUCGACGAGUCGAGUAGUUUGGGAAUGCUGCUCUAAAUGGGAGGUAAAUCUCUUCUAAAGCUAAAUACCGGCCAGAGACCGAUAGCGCACAAGUAGAGUGAUCGAAAGAUGAAAAGCACCUUGAAAAGGGGGUUAAACAGUACGUGAAAUUGUUGAAAGGGAAGCACUUGUGACCAGACUUGGGCCGGGCGGCUCAUCAGGGGUUCUCCCCUGUGCAUUCCGCCCGGUACAGGCCAGCAUCGGUUCUUACCGGGGGAUAAGAACGGCAGGAACGUGGCUCCCUCUCGGGGGAGUGUUAUAGCCUGCCGUACGAUACCCUGGCGGGGACCGAGGUUCGCGCUUCCGCAAGGAUGCUGGCGUAAUGGUUACUAGUGACCCGUCUUGAAACACGGACCAAGGAGUCGUCCAUUAGAGCGAGCGUUUGGGUGUAAAACCCGCACGCGUAAUGAAAGUGAAAUUAGGUGAGAGCUUCGGCGCAUCAUCGACCGAUCCUGAUGUUCUCGGAUGGAUUUGAGUAAGAGUUUUAACGGACGGACCCGAAAGACAGUGAACUAUGCUUGUAUAGGGUGAAGCCAGAG
rnacentral:rRNA from 1 species